GGAUAAGUAAAGUGGCGUCCGGGUGAGUAACACGUAGGUAAUCUACCUUCGGGUGGGGAAUAACCCAGGGAAACUUGGGCUAACACCGCAUAAUGCAGCGGCACCACAUGGUGACAGUUGUUAAAGCGGGGGAUUUUAGGACCUCGCGCCUGAAGAGGAGCCUGCGGCGGAUUAGCUUGUUGGUAAGGUAACGGCUUACCAAGGCGACGAUCCGUAGCCGGCCUGAGAGGGCGGUCGGCCACACUGACACUGACAUACGGGUCAGACUCCUACGGGAGGCAGCAGUCGGGAAUUUUGGGCAAUGGGCGAAAGCCUGACCCAGCAACGCCGCGUGAAGGAUGAAAUCCCUCGGGAUGUAAACUCCGCAAGAAUGGGAAGAAUUAGUAGGGGCUAAUACCCCCUAUGAUGACGGUACCAUUUGUAAGCUCCGGCUAACUCCGUGCCAGCAGCCCGCGGUAAUACGGGGGGAGCAAGCGUUGUUCGGAUUUACUGGGCGUAAAGGGCGCGUAGGCGGCCAGCGCAAGUCAAUUGUGAAAUCUCCGGCUUAACUCGGAAAGGUCAACUGAUACUGCGCCGGCUAGAGUGCGGAAGGGGCAACUGGAAUUCUCGGUGUAGCGGUGAAAAUGCGUAGAUAUCGAGAGGAACACCUGCGGCGA
rnacentral:rRNA from 1 species